CCUACGGGGGGCUGCAGUCGAGAAUCUUUCGCAAUGGGGGAAACCCUGACGAAGCGACGCCGCGUGCAGGAUGACGGCCUUCGGGUUGUAAACUGCUGUCGGCUGGGAAGAAAAGUCGCGUGUGAACAAUACGCGAUCUUGACGGUACCAGCAAAGGAAGCCACGGCUAACUCUGUGCCAGCAGCCGCGGUAAUACAGAGGUGGCGAGCGUUGUUCGGAUUCAUUGGGCGUAAAGGGUCCGUAGGCGGUCCGGAAAGUCGGGUGUGAAAGCCCACAGCUCAACUGUGGAACUGCACUCGAAACUUCCGGACUAGAGUGUGAGAGGGGUUAAGGGAAUUCCCGGUGUAAGGGUGAAAUCUGCAGAGAUCGGGAGGAACACCAGUCGCGAAGGCGCUUAACUGGCUCACUACUGACGCUCAGGGACGAAAGCUAGGGGAGCA
rnacentral:rRNA from 1 species